UAAGCAUAUCAAUAAGCGGAGGAAAAGAAACCAACAGGGAUUGCCCCAGUAACGGCGAGUGAAGCGGCAACAGCUCAAAUUUGAAAUCUGGCUCACGCCCGAGUUGUAAUUUGUAGAGGAUGCCUCUGGCGCGGCGCCCCCCGAGUUCCCUGGAACGGGACGCCAUAGAGGGUGAGAGCCCCGUACGGGCGGACGCCUAGCCUCUGUGUGGCACCUUCGACGAGUCGAGUAGUUUGGGAAUGCUGCUCUAAGCGGGAGGUAAAUUUCUUCUAAAGCUAAAUACCGGCCCAAGACCGAUAGCGCACAAGUAGAGUGAUCGAAAGAUGAAAAGCACUUUGAAAAGAGGGUUAAACAGCACGUGAAAUUGUUGAAAGGGAAGCGCUCGUGACUAGACUUGCGCCCGGCGGAUCAUCCAGCGCCCUGCGCUGGUGCACUUCGCCGGGCCCAGGCCAGCAUCGGCUCUCCCAGGCGCAUAAAGGCCCCGGGAACGUAGCUCCUCCGGGAGUGUUAUAGCCCGCUGCGGAAUUCGCCUGGGGGGGCCGAGGUACGCGCUCCGCAAGGAUGCUGGCGUAAUGGUCACCAGCGGCCCGUCUUGAAACACGGACCAAGGAGUCAAGCAUUAGGGCGAGUGUUUGGGUGUCAAACCCGCACGCGUAAUGAAAGUGAAUGCUGGUGAGAGCCUCGGCGCAUCAUCGACCGAUCCUGAUGUUCUCGGAUGGAUUUGAGUAGGAGCCCUAACGUUUGGACCCGAAAGUUGAUGAACUAUGCCUGUAUAGGGUGAAGCCAGAGGAAACUCUGGUGGAGGCUCGCAGCGGUUCUGACGUGCAAAUCGAUCGUCAAAUAUGG
rnacentral:rRNA from 1 species